GUACACGCUGUGACUAGUAUAUCAAUAAGCGGAGGAAAAGAAACUAACAAGGAUUCCCCUAGUAACGGCGAGUGAAGCGGGAAGAGCUCAAAUUUGAAAUCUUAAAGGGUUUCCCUUUACGAAUUGUAGUUUAAAGAGGUGUUUUCUGUUGAGGUUUUGGUAAAAGUUCUUUGGAAUAGGACAUCAUAGAGGGUGAGAAUCCCGUAUUUGACCUUUACUUUCAACUUUGUGAUACACUUUCAAAGAGUCGGAUUGUUUGGGAAUGCAGUCCAAAAUGGGUGGUAAAUUUCAUCUAAAGCUAAAUAUUGGCGAGAGACCGAUAGCGAACAAGUACCGUGAGGGAAAGAUGAAAAGAACUUUGAAAAGAGAGUUAAACAGUACGUGAAAUUGUCAAAAGGGAAGCGUUUGACACCAGUGUUGUUUUUCUGAAAAUCAAUUAAAGAACUGUUUAUGCUAAGUUGUUUAGACUUUAUCAGCUAACUGUUUAGUUUUGAGCUUUUCUUUAAUGCACUUUUCAGUUAACAAGUCAACAUCAAUUUCUUUUGCUGUAAAAAAGCUUGAGGAAGGUGGCUUGAGAUUCGUCUUAAGUGUUUAUAGCCUCUUGCCUAUGCAGUCGGAGAGAUUGAGGUCUGCAGCGUAGAUCCUUCGGGGCUAAAUGCAUUUGUGCUAAGUUAUAGCAUUUUAUAGACAACUUGUUGACUAUGAUUUGUCUUGUAGCUUACUCGCUUAUGUUAUUUUACCUACGCUUAGGAUGUUGACGCGCGUGUGUGCGUG
rnacentral:rRNA from 1 species